GACGAACGCUGGCGGCGUGCUUAACACAUGCAAGUCGAACGGAAAGGCCCUGCUUUUGUGGGGUGCUCGAGUGGCGAACGGGUGAGUAACACGUGAGUAACCUGCCCUUGACUUUGGGAUAACUUCAGGAAACUGGGGCUAAUACCGGAUAGGAGCUCCUGCUGCAUGGUGGGGGUUGGAAAGUUUCGGCGGUUGGGGAUGGACUCGCGGCUUAUCAGCUUGUUGGUGGGGUAGUGGCUUACCAAGGCUUCGACGGGUAGCCGGCCUGAGAGGGUGACCGGCCACAUUGGGACUGAGAUACGGCCCAGACUCCUACGGGAGGCAGCAGUGGGGAAUAUUGCACAAUGGGCGGAAGCCUGAUGCAGCAACGCCGCGUGCGGGAUGACGGCCUUCGGGUUGUAAACCGCUUUCGCCUGUGACGAAGCGUGAGUGACGGUAAUGGGUAAAGAAGCACCGGCUAACUACGUGCCAGCAGCCGCGGUGAUACGUAGGGUGCGAGCGUUGUCCGGAUUUAUUGGGCGUAAAGGGCUCGUAGGUGGUUGAUCGCGUCGGAAGUGUAAUCUUGGGGCUUAACCCUGAGCGUGCUUUCGAUACGGGUUGACUUGAGGAAGGUAGGGGAGAAUGGAAUUCCUGGUGGAGCGGUGGAAUGCGCAGAUAUCAGGAGGAACACCAGUGGCGAAGGCGGUUCUCUGGGCCUUUCCUGACGCUGAGGAGCGAAAGCGUGGGGAGCGAACAGGCUUAGAUACCCUGGUAGUCCACGCUGUAAACGGUGGGUACUAGGUGUGGGGUCCAUUCCACGGGUUCCGUGCCGUAGCUAACGCUUUAAGUACCCCGCCUGGGGAGUACGGCCGCAAGGCUAAAACUCAAAGGAAUUGGCGGGGCCCCGCACAAGCGGCGGAGCAUGCGGAUUAAUUCGAUGCAACGCGUAGAACCUUACCUGGGUUUGACAUGGAUCGGGAGUGCUCAGAGAUGGGUGUGCCUCUUUUGGGGUCGGUUCACAGGUGGUGCAUGGCUGUCGUCAGCUCGUGUCGUGAGAUGUUGGGUUAAGUCCCGCAACGAGCGCAACCCUUGUUCACUGUUGCCAGCACGUUAUGGUGGGGACUCAGUGGAGACCGCCGGGGUCAACUCGGAGGAAGGUGGGGAUGACGUCAAGUCAUCAUGCCCCUUAUGUCCAGGGCUUCACGCAUGCUACAAUGGCUGGUACAGAGAGUGGCGAGCCUGUGAGGGUGAGCGAAUCUCGGAAAGCCGGUCUCAGUUCGGAUUGGGGUCUGCAACUCGACCUCAUGAAGUCGGAGUCGCUAGUAAUCGCAGAUCAGCAACGCUGCGGUGAAUACGUUCCCGGGGCU
rnacentral:rRNA from 1 species